AACGAACGCUGGCGGCAGGCUUAACACAUGCAAGUCGAGCGCCCCGCAAGGGGAGCGGCAGACGGGUGAGUAACGYGUGGGAACGUACCUUUUGYUACGGAAUAACUCAGGGAAACUUGUGCUAAUACCGUAUGUGCCCUUCGGGGGAAAGAUUUAUCGGCAAAGGAUCGGCCCGCGUUGGAUUAGCUAGUUGGUGAGGUAAAGGCUCACCAAGGCGACGAUCCAUAGCUGGUCUGAGAGGAUGAUCAGCCACACUGGGASUGAGACACGGCCCAGACUCCUACGGGAGGCAGCAGUGGGGAAUAUUGGACAAUGGGCGCAAGCCUGAUCCAGCCAUGCCGCGUGAGUGAUGAAGGCCCUAGGGUUGUAAAGCUCUUUCACCGGUGAAGAUAAUGACGGUAACCGGAGAAGAAGC
rnacentral:rRNA from 2 species